rnacentral:rRNA from 1 species
UACAGAGGGUGCAAGCGUUGCUCGGAUUUACUGGGCGUAAAGCGUACGCAGACGGCUGCAAAGGUCGGGUGUGAAAGCCCGGGGCUCAACCCCGGAAAUGCAUCCGAAACCAUGCAGCUCGAGUAUGAGAGAGGGGAGCGGAAUUCCUGGUGUAGAGGUGAAAUUCGUAGAUAUCAGGAGGAACAUCUGUGGCGAAGGCGGCUCCCUGGCUCAUUACUGACGUUCAGGUACGAAAGCGUGGGUAGCAAACAGGAUUAGAUACCCUGGUAGUCCACGCCGUAAACGAUGUGUGCUGGGUGUCGGGGGUAUUCACCCCCUCGGUAUCGAAGCUAACGCGAUAAGCACACCGCCUGGGGAGUACGGCCGCAAGGUUG